GGAACAACGACUGGAGGACGUUGUUGCUGCCCGUUGCUGCCCAGAUCGCCAGCGCAGCCGUAAUCGUAGCUGCAGCAUAGCUGCCCGUCCUACGGAGAGUAUCCGUACGCGGGUAUUCCCCCGUCCGCGUGAAAAGUCUUGGGACGCGCGUGCGUGCUGCCAUCUGUCAGGUGCGCGGUGCGGUAUAAAGGAUGAACAGAAGCGGGAAAUUCGAAUUGGGCAAGGGGAUUCUGCUAUCUGCGUUGUGGUUGCGUUUUCGUCUGAUUAGCAAGUGUCUUUUGCAGAUUUUGAAAGACGGUGCACUAUUUUCGGCGUGAAUCUGAGUUUGUGAACGUGUGCACAACUACGUCAUGAUGUUAAAAUGUUACACAACUAGAAGUAACUUUAUAGAUCGAUAAGAAAAUAUUCGUCAUCAAUUUCUCACGAAAGAAGCGUGUAACGAAUGAAUCCGCGAGUUGAGAGGAGCCGUUACAGAUGUCACCCUGGUCGACUUACGACGUUGAUCCAAGACUUUUCGCGUCGCUUGGGGGGAUACUCAGAUGACUCAGGUUCGACGGCCCUUUCCUCUCGACCGUGCACGAUCGGUAAAAAUGUUGGAUUUUACGAGCACAAAUAACAAGGACUCGACUCAUGACAAUCAUGCUCUGACAUUCGGGGGUCAAAACAAUGAAUUUCCAUAAAUCGUUACAGGACAAUACUCGAUAGACAGAGAGAAAGAGACUCUUGGUGCUUCUAUCGAAUUUCGAAUGCAGAUCAGAGAAGGGUGCAAAAGAGGCUCAAGUGUAACGAAACCAUAAUAAUAAUAAAUAAUAGUAAUAAUAAUAAUAAUAAUAAUAAUAAUAAUAAUAAUAAUAAUAAUAAUAAUAAUACAAUAAUAAUAAUAAUAAUAAUAAUAACAACAGAAAGACAAAAACGAAUCAAAAUGCAAUCUGUGUGUGUGUGUGUGUGUCUGCAUGGGUAUGUGUGUGUGUGCGCGUGUGUCUGUAUGUGUGUGCGUGCGUGUCUGUCACCACGUGCGUCGUGCGCCCGACCGAUACCAAAUAUGUAGGAAAUUUCGAUUUCUUUCUCUUCAAUUUGACGACAAUGCAUCUUCAAAUAUGCGCUCUUUGAGUCGAGUAAUUUUGACGUUAACUGAUUUAUAAUUAGUUAGAAAAUAACAUGGGGUGAGUCGGUGCAUGCGUAUCCAUUGUAAACGUGCAUUUGACUACCUUAAUUGACCUCAAGGAUCGAACAUUUCUUGAUCGACCGAUCGACGCAAAAAUAAAUUUUUUAACUACGACAAUUAUGACAUAAUAGCUUGAAUAUUCUUCAUUCCUCGUAAAAUAUGUAGUUGAAUAAUACUAAAGUUAACUCAAAAGUAGCUAAAACUCUGUAUAUUUAUUCUUGUAUAUUUUUAUCAUUCAGAGUAACUAAUUUUCACUUUUUCUAUAAUGAAUAAAUUUAACUUUGGUUGAGUUCGUAAUUUCACAAUAUUUAGCAUUGAUGUUUAAAAACAUUACUAGAUAAUAAUAUAGUAUUUUUAUUCAUGUCAAAGGCAAUUUCAUAUUUAUAAAAAAUUGUCCUCAGAUCGAUCAAGAGUAAUUCUGAUUACAAUUUUUAAUACAAAACAUGCGUACGUGCUCGCGAUUCACCCUGAGAAUUAGACCUUCUUGCCACACGUCUAUGCCACACGCUGUCAUAUAGAUCAUCCACAUAUACUCACGAAUGCGUCAUCUGCAAGUGCUUUAUCAGUUGUACCAACUUUGCCCAGAAAAGUACUAAUGCAAAGUUAUCGAAUAACCAAUGGAAACAUCGUCACACAAUUAUUCCGAUUUCAACUUGAUUCGCAUCUAAGGACUUGCAAGUCUACACGUGGCAUAGACGACCAGAGUGGGUGUAACCCAACACAAGAAAAAGUUGAGAAAUUGGAAGCCUGGUGACCAGCGUGCGGCGAUCAACGAACGCAAGAGACUUCUAUGAACGAAUGAACCAGAUUACUCUCUCUAGUGGAUUCUAAACGAACGUUACAACACAGAGAAAUGUAAAGUUUCAAACGAAGAUACAAAUAAGAAGCGAGUGGGGUUGGGACAGCGAUAGCUAGAGUGGAAGAGAAAUAAAGUUACCAAUGUGCUAUUCGAUGAAGCAGGCAGAAGGAAAACGAAAGCAUUUGAGAGCUCGUGGGCGCUUAAAUAAGUGACGAGUAAGAAAUAGAAAAAAGAAGAUAGAGAGAAAAAGACAUUAAUAAUAAAUAAAAAAGAAGAAGAAGAGGCGGGUAGAGAAGAUUAUAGGUGAGGUAGAAGUGACGUGAUUACCGAUGCACACAACACGCGCUAUUGCUCACCAAUUGGGCGCAGUACGGCACCUGCAAGGAUACCCAUCGUUAGGCUAGUCAGUGGCGCGUAAGGAAGAGGAUUCGUGACAGGAAGGGAAUGAAGGGUCCCAUCAGGCACGUGCCAAGGAGAAAAAAGUACUCGAGAGGUAACGGUGCGUAAAGCUGGAUCCCCUGGCACUCGUGAUCACGGAUUACAUUAGAUCGUCGAUCAAAAUAAUGAUAGUUCCCGAGACUCUCGAGAAACCCUCGAAAAAAAAAACUUUAUUCUGCGUAAUUUCUCCUCAGACAUUUUAUAAGCACCUAUUAUAUCUACUGUUUGCAAGACGCUGUAAAAGUGUAAUGAAAUAA